rnacentral:rRNA from 1 species
UACGGAGGGGGCUAGCGUUGUUCGGAAUUACUGGGCGUAAAGCGCGCGUAGGCGGCUUUGUAAGUUAGAGGUGAAAGCCCGGAGCUUAACUCCGGAACUGCCUUUAAGACUGCAUCGCUAGAAUCGUGGAGAGGUGAGUGGAAUUCCGAGUGUAGAGGUGAAAUUCGUAGAUAUUCGGAAGAACACCUGCGGCGAAGGCGGGUUGCUGGGCUGACACUGACGCUGGAGGCGACGGAAAGCUAGGGGAGCGAACGGG